AAAAGACUCUCGAUCAACUAUACAAACGUUAAAAUUUAGGAAAACAGUGGCCGAUCACGAUCUUUUUACCAUAUACGCACACACAUACGUAUACACACAUACGUAUACCCACUAAAACAGGGACACACACGCGCUAUUUAGGAUCCCCGCCUAUAUGUGAACUGUUUGUGGCAAAUAAACUGCAACUGGUUAUC